rnacentral:rRNA from 1 species
CGCACGGGUGCGUAACGCGUAUGCAACCUACCAUCAACAGGGGGAUAACACUGAGAAAUUGGUACUAAUACCCCAUAAUAUCUCAUGCGGCAUCGCAUGGGGUUGAAAACUCCGGUGGUUGAUGAUGGGCAUGCGUUGUAUUAGCUGGUUGGUGAGGUAACGGCUCACCAAGGCGACGAUACAUAGGGGGACUGAGAGGUUAACCCCCCACAUUGGUACUGAGACACGGACCAAACUCCUACGGGAGGCAGCAG